GACAUAGGUGGCGAACGUUAUCCGGAAUUAUUGGGCGUAAAGGAUGCGUAGAUGGUAGAAUACGUUAUUGGUCGAUGCCAAACUCAAUUUGGCGGAAGCUGGUAAUACUGUUCAGCUAGAGGGCAGGAGAGGUUGAUGGAAUUCUGUGUGGAGCGGUGAAAUGCGUAGAGAUCUGGAAGAACACCAAAGGCGAAGGCAGCGUCCUGGCAAGUCACUGACGCUCAGGUGCGAAAGCUAGGGGAGCGAACGGG
rnacentral:rRNA from 1 species